GGAUGAACGCUAGCGGGAGGCUUAACACAUGCAAGUCGAGGGGUAAAUGGUAGCAAUACUAUGAGACCGGCGGACGGGUGCGUAACGCGUAUGCAACAUACCUUGUGCAGGGGGAUAGCCCGUGGAAACGCGGAUUAAUAUUCCAUAGUCCAGCUAUAUCGCAUGGUAUAGUUGGUAAAGAUUUAUCGGCACAAGUUUGGCAUGCGUCUGAUUAGCUUGUUGGUAGGGUAACGGCCUACCAAGGCUACGAUCAGUAGGGGUUCUGAGAGGAUUAACCCCCACACUGGUACUGAGACACGGACCAGACUCCUACGGGAGGCAGCAGUGAGGAAUAUUGGUCAAUGGGCGGAAGCCUGAACCAGCCAUCCCGCGUGAAGGAAGACAGCCUUACGGGUUGUAAACUUCUUUUCUGUCAGAAGAAUAAGCUUGUCGAGACGAGUGAUGCCGGUAUGACAGGAAUAAGCAUCGGCUAACUCCGUGCCAGCAGCCGCGGUAAUACGGAGGAUGCAAGCGUUAUCCGGAUUUAUUGGGUUUAAAGGGUGCGCAGGUUGUUUGAUAAGUCAGUGGUGAAAGUCUGUCGCUUAACGGUAGGACUGCCAUUGAUACUGUUAGACUUGAAUAUGGAUGAGGUAGGCGGAAUGUGUAGUGUAGCGGUGAAAUGCAUAGAUAUUACACAGAACACCGAUUGCGAAGGCAGCUUACUAAUCCAUCAUUGACGCUGAGGCACGAAAGCGUGGGGAGCAAACAGGAUUAGAUACCCUGGUAGUCCGCACAGUAAACGUUGGACACUAGGUGUUGGUCUUUAUGAGAUCAGCGCCGCAGCUAACGCAUUAAGUGUCCCGCCUGGGGAGUACGACCGCAAGGUUGAAACUCAAAGGAAUUGACGGGGGCCCGCACAAGCGGUGGAGCAUGUGGUUUAAUUCGAUGCAACGCGAAAAACCUUACCUGGGCUUGAACUGUGGUCGCAAACUCAUGAAAGUGAGUCCUCCUUCGGGACGGCCAUAGAGGUGCUGCAUGGCUGUCGUCAGCUCGUGCCGUGAGGUGUUGGGUUAAGUCCCGCAACGAGCGCAACCCUUGCCCUUAGUUGCCAACAGGUUAUGCUGGGAACUCUAAGGGGACUGCCCCAGACAAUGGGGAGGAAGGUGGGGACGACGUCAAGUCAUCAUGGCCCUUACGUCCAGGGCUACACACGUGCUACAAUGGCCGGUACAAUGGGAAGCAAUACCGCGAGGUGGAGCAAAUCCUAAAAACCGGUCUCAGUUCAGAUUGCAGUCUGCAACUCGACUGCAUGAAGUCGGAAUCGCUAGUAAUCGUGGAUCAGCAUGCCACGGUGAAUACGUUCCCGGGCCU
rnacentral:rRNA from 1 species